rnacentral:tRNA from 1 species
GGGCCCGUAGCUCAAUGGUAGAGCACCGGACUCAUAAUCCGUUGGUUGUAGGUUCGACUCCUACCGGGCCCA